rfam:Oryza glumipatula chromosome 1, whole genome shotgun sequence.
AAAAAGAGAAAUACUGUUUUCCGUGUCCAAUGUUUGACCGUCCAUCUUAUUUAAAAAAAUUAUAAAAAAAUUAAAAAAAUAACUCACGCAUAAAAUAUUAAUCAUGUUUUAUCAUCUAACAACAAUAAAAAUACAAAUUAUAGAAAAUUUCAUAUAAGACGGACAGUCAAAGUUGGACACGGAAACUCAGAGUUUGCUUUUUU